rnacentral:rRNA from 1 species
UACGGAGGGGGCGAGCGUUAUUCGGAAUUAUUGGGCGUAAAGGGCGCGUAGGCGGCUUGAUAAGUCAAAGGUGAAAUCCCUCGGCUCAACUGAGGAGCUGCCUUUGAAACUGUCUGGCUUGAGGCCGGGAGGGGGUAGCGGAAUUCCCAGUGUAGCGGUGAAAUGCGCAGAUAUCAGGAGGAACACCGGUGGCGAAGGCGGUUCUCUGGGCAUGAUCUGACGCUGAGGAGCGAAAGUGUGGGGAGCGAACAGG